rnacentral:rRNA from 1 species
UACACGCUGUGACUAGCAUAUCAAUAAGCGGAGGAAAAGAAACUAACAAGGAUUCCCUCAGUAACGGCGAGUGAAGCGGGAAGAGCUCAAAUUUGAAAUCUUGAAAGGUCACCUUUCACGAAUUGUAGUUUAAAGAAGUGUUUUCUGUUACGAUCGUAAUAUAAGUUCUUUGGAAUAGGACAUCACAGAGGGUGAGAAUCCCGUCUAUGAUUGCGAUUUGUAGCUUUGUGAUACACUUUCAAAGAGUCGGGUUGUUUGGGAAUGCAGCCCAAAACGGGAGGUAAAUUUCUUCUAAGGCUAAAUAUUGGCGAGAGACCGAUAGCGAACAAGUACCGUGAGGGAAAGAUGAAAAGAACUUUGAAAAGAGAGUUAAAUAGUACGUGAAAUUGUCAAAAGGGAAGCGUUUAACACCAGUGUUGUUUUCUGAAAAUCAACCUCUGUUAGCUUUAUGCAUGUUUGUUUAGACCUAAUCAGCUAUCUUGCAUGUUCUAUUGUUUGCAGUGGUGCACUUUUCAGUUUACAGGUCAACAUCAGUUUUUUUUACCGUAAAAAAGUUAAAGAAAGGUAGCUCAUGGCUCCGGUCGUGAGUGUUAUAGUCUUUUUCCUAUGCGGUAGGAGAGACUGAGGUCUGCAGUGUAGGCUAUUUGGCUAGAUACUCAGGUGCUAUGUGAUACCAUUUCAUAGACAACUUGUUGAUUAUGUUUUGUCUAUUGCAUACUCGCUUGUACUAUCAUACCUACGCUUAGGAUGUUGAACUACUGAGACAUAGA